GAUGAACGCUGGCGGCGUGCCUAAUACAUGCAAGUCGAGCGAACAGACGAGGAGCUUGCUCCUCUGACGUUAGCGGCGGACGGGUGAGUAACACGUGGAUAACCUACCUAUAAGACUGGGAUAACUUCGGGAAACCGGAGCUAAUACCGGAUAAUAUAUUGAACCGCAUGGUUGAAUAGUGAAAGACGGUUUUGCUGUCACUGAUAGAUGGAUCCGCGCCGCAUUAGCUAGUUGGUAAGGUAACGGCUUACCAAGGCAACGAUGCGUAGCCGACCUGAGAGGGUGAUCGGCCACACUGGAGCUGAGACACGGUCCAGAGUCCUACGGGAGGCAGCAGUAGGGAAUCUUCCGCAAUGGGCGAAAGCCUGACGGAGCAACGCCGCGUGAGUGCUGAAGGUCUUCGGAUCGUAAAACUCUGUUAUUAGGGAAGAACAAAUGUGUAAGUAACUAUGCACGUCUUGACGGUACCUAAUCAGAAAGCCACGGCUAACUACGUG
rnacentral:rRNA from 1 species